AGAAAAGUCCCGAGCAGAUGAGAUCACAUGGAACAGAGAUGAACUACAACUGAGACUCACCUUCCAGUCAAUCCCUUUGAGCACAGCCUUGAAAUGUAUGUUUAUGCUCCACUUGUGUGGCUGGUACCUGCAAGUCCAGAAGAGAGCUUCAGAUGCCCUGGGAGUGGAGUUACAAAUUUUGUAAGCUGCAAUGUAGUGUAGACAUCCAGUUAGACCAGCACCAUUUGUUGAAGAUGUGGUCUUUUUACACUGUACGGUUUUGACUUCUUUGUCAAAAAUGAAUACAGAGACUCGUUCCUCCAUGGACUGCAAAAAAUAAGUGGAAGAUCAGUGCUCCUUCUUAAAGAAGACAUUUGUAGCAUCACUUCUAAGGAUCAGGGAACACUGCAGAAGAAAAGAUAGAAAGGAUGCAAGAGGCAGAAGAUAGAGAAGACUGGAAAAUGUAACCUCUCCUGCAAGAUACAGCCAUUUCAAAUACAAACUUAUAGAAGCCUUGGGGCUGCACAAGAAUGGGCCUCAGGAGCUCCUGCCCACCAACAGUGGACUAUUUUGCUUCUAAUAGAUUCAGGAAGAGUGCCAGGGAGUGUGCCACUGCCUUCAGUUGUGUACACAUUGGUGACCUCACCAGGGUCCAAUGGUAGUUCCAAUCAAUGAUCACUUAGAUUGCUCUGGUUAAACAAAAUCAGCUGCAUAAUGAAAAAAAAAAGGUAAAUCUGGUAAUAGUAAAGGGUAUUGAUAAGGAUGGGAGAGACACAAUGGGUGGCAUUACAUAUUAUACGAAAUUGUUAAAGAACAACUUAAUAACAACAUUUUCUUUUAGCCAGGCAUGGUGGCACACACCUUUAAUCCCAGCACUCAGAGAGGCAGAGGUGGGCAUAUCGCUGUGAGUUGUAGGCCAACAUGGCCUACAGAGGGAAUCCAGGACAGUCAAGGCAACACAGAGAAACCAUGUUUCAAAAAACCCAAAGGAAAAAAAAAGUUUUCUUUUUAAGGGAUUUAUGUUAGGUCACUUAUAUUUGUACAAACGUUUCUAUUUUAGAAUCAAAUUAUGACCAUGACCAGUUAAUCAAUUGUUAUACCUAAGAGUUCCUUUUGAUCCUAGCAAUCUUCAGUUGCUCUCAGUGGUGGGAAAUGAGUUGACUUGGGUAGCUCCAAACUGAGAAAACAAACCAAAACUCUUGAGGACACUAGACUCUACUGAUCUCUUUUCUGCUCUUAAAACACUCUAUAGCCGUCCUUUGAAGAAACAGAAAAUUAUGAAGUAGGAGUGUUUGGAAUAUGCAUGAUAUUGUCAUGAGAAUUUAAAUUUUAAAUGUAAGUUAUGGUAGAAAAACUAUUAGCCAUUUGUAAAGAAUGGAGAAUGAUAAUAAAAUUUAGAAGUACUUUAGAAUGAUGCAAAUAAAUUCUUACUUUGGGCAUAUAUGGGGGAAACAAUAAAUAGUAUUUAGAUAUUGAAUUCUAGGAGAGGGGAUGCAAAUUAGCUAUAUGCACAGAAACAUAUACAAAGGACAGUAAACAAUGUCAGUUAAUACUUAUGUGUGUGAGAGAAAGUUAAUGACAGGAAAAUGAAAGGAGAGAAAUAAAUGCACACUGCUCACUUCUGUCCCAAUUCUAUACACCAUAGGACAACAUUCAAUUUAUUGUUUCAAAAAGUUACCUUUUCACAGAUUCAUGCAGGGAAGAGUAACAUUUUCUACUUUCACAUACCUUUCUCUCCCUGAAGCUACAAAAGAAAAAAAAAAAAGUAAACCUGGUAUUUAAGAAGUCAAUAUUUGAGAAUUCUCGAAAGAGGAACAUCGAAUGGCAGAGAAACACUUAAAGAAAUGCUCAGCGUCAUUAGUCAUCAGGAAAAUGCAAAUUAAAACAACCCUGAGAUUUCACCUUACACCCAACAGAAUGGCUAAGAUCAAAAACUCAAGUGGCAACACACGCUGGAGAGGUUGUGGAGAAAGGGGAACCCUCCUCCACUGCUGGUGGGAAUGUAAACUUGUACAAACACUCUGGAACUCAAUCUGGCGCUUUUUCAGACAACUAGGAAUAGUGCUUCCUCAAGAUCCAGCUAUACCACUUCUAGGCAUAUACCCAAAAGAGGCUCAAGUACACAAAAAGGACCUUUGUUCAACCAUGUUUGUAGUAGCUUUUUUUGUAAUAUCCAGAAGCUGGAAACAACCCAGAUGCUCCUCAACUGAGGAAGGGAUACAGAAAUUGUGGAACAUCUACACAAUGGAAUAUUACUCAGCAAUAAAAAACAAGGAAAUCAUGAAAUUUGCAGGUAAAUGGUGGGAACUGGAAAAGAUCAUCCUGAGUGAGGUAUCCCAGAAGCUGAAAGACAGACAUGGUAUCUACUCACUUAUAAGUGGAUAUUAGACAUGUAAUAUAGGAUAAACAUACUAAAAUCUGUACACUUAAAGAAACUAAUCAAGAGGGAGGACUCUGGCUAAAAUGCUCAAUCCCCAUCCAGAAAGGCAAAGAGAAUGGACAUCAGAAGAAAAAGAAAACAGGGAACAAGUCAGCAGCCUGCCACAGAGGGCCUCUGAAAGGCUCUUCCCUGCAGACUAUCAAAGCAGAUGCUGAGACUUAUAGCCAAACUUUGGGCAGAGUGCAGGUAAUCUUAUGAAAGAAGUGGGAAAUAGUAAGAUCUGGAGAGUACAGGAACACCAAAGGAGAGCAACUGAACCAACAAUUCUGGGCACAAGGGUCCUUCCUGAGUCUGUUAAUCCAACCAAGUACCAUGCAUAGAGAUAACCUAGAACCCCUGCACAGUUGUAGCCCAUGGCAGUUCAGUGUCCAAGUGGGUUCCAUAGUAAUGGGAACAGGGACUGUCUCUGACAUUAACUGAUUGGCCUGCUCUUUGAUCACCCCCGCUCCCGAGAGGGGGAGCAGCCUUAGCAGCCUUACCAGGACACAGAAGAAGAUAGUGCUACCACUCUUUUUUUUUUUAAUUUUAUUUUUCUUAUUAGUUACAUUUUGUUAACUCCGUGUCCCACUCUUGAUGAGACCUGGUAGACUAGGAUCAGAAGGAAGCAAAAGA